rnacentral:lncRNA from 1 species
UGCCUAGGAGUCUCAGAUUUGUGCUGAAACCUCAGGUCUUCCCGGAGCUGUAGGCCAUUCCAGUGAACAGUGCUCUCUGCGCAGGGCAGCACACUCAGGUGGCCCCCGGGGCUGGGGCACAGUGGCAGGACACUGAGCAGGCUGCGAGGGCAGAGCUGGCACUCACUGUCGGGUCAGUGGGAGUCAUGGAGGGCAUGUGGGCUCUCUUCACAUGUGGGGCUUUCACUCACUUCCUCGGCAGUUUUAACAUUAACACCCCAGGUGAGGGACACUGGCUCCCUCGCUCUGCACCCUAACCUGCCUUGUCACAGGAGUCAGAGAGUUUCAGAGUUGGGGCCCCUCCUUUCUAGCCCCAGCCAUGUCUGCUCAUCCUGAUGAGCCUCCCAUCCUGCACCCCCAGAAUGGUUUGCUACUAGCACGCAGAGCUACAUCCUGCGGGACCUGGAUGACACCUCGGUGGUAGAGGAUGGGCGCAAGAAGCUGAACACCCUGGCCCACUACAAGAUCCCAGAAGGCGCUUCUUUGGCCAUGAGCCUAACAGACAAGAAAGACAACACUCUGGGCCGAGGUACUCUGGGGCAUUUAGGAUGCAGCUGGGGGAAACAGGCUGGGAGCAGGCUGGGAGCUGCGUGCUCUGGGGUCUCCCGUGGCUCACCUGCGGGCCCUCGGUAGGGAUGGGGCCGUCCCUGGUCCUGUGGCUGUUUCCUGUCCCCUUUUGUGUCUUCUCUGCCUUCUGCAUCUCCAUCUCUCUCCCCGCUGCCUUUGUCUGUUUCUAUCACUCUUGCCCUCUCCUCCCUGUUUGUUCAUUUUGUGUUUUCCUCCCACAGUAAAAGACUUGGACACGGAGAAGUAUUUCCACUUGGUGCUGCCCACCGAUGAGCUGGCAGAGCCCAAGAAAUCGCACCGGCAGAGCCACCGCAAGAAGGUGCUGCCCGAGAUCUACCUGACCCGCCUGCUGUCCACCAAGGGCACGUUGCAGAAGUUCCUGGACGACCUAUUCAAGGCCAUUCUGAGCAUUCGUGAAGACAAGCCCCCCCUGGCUGUCAAGUACUUCUUCGAUUUCCUGGAGGAGCAGGCGGAGAAGAGGGGCAUCUCAGACCCAGACACGCUGCACAUCUGGAAGACCAACAGCCUGCCCCUCCGCUUUUGGGUGAACAUCCUGAAGAACCCCCAGUUUGUGUUCGACAUCGAGAAGACAGACCACAUUGAUGCCUGCCUGACGGUCAUCGCACAGGCCUUCAUUGAUGCCUGCUCCAUCUCUGACCUGCAGCUGGGCAAGGACUCACCCACCAACAAGCUGCUGUAUGCGAAGGAGAUCCCCGAGUACCGCAAGGUCGUGCAGCGCUACUACAAGCAGAUCCAGGACAUGGCGCCGCUCAGUGAGCAGGAGAUGAACGCCCAUCUGGCUGAGGAGUCUCGGAAGUACCAGAAUGAGUUCAACACUAAUGUGGCGCUGGCAGAGGUCUAUAAAUAUGCCAAGCGGUACCGCCCACAGAUCGUGACAGCGCUGGAGGCCAACCCCACGGCCCGGAGGACACAGCUGCAGCACAAGUUCGAGCAGGUGGUGGCCCUGAUGGAAGACAACAUCUAUGAGUGUUACAGCGAGGCCUGAGCCCAGCACCAGCCACUCUGUGUGUGGCAAGACCACGUCCUGGAGCCUCGGAUUGCACAAACUCUUGGGAAUGGAGGGGCUCUGUCCCCUCUGCCUGCCCCCCUCAAAUGCCACAGCCAGACCUUUGGGAGCUCCCCUUGCACCCUGCUGCCCUGGCAGCUGCUAAGAUGCUGGCCACAAGUGCCAGCAUGGAUGGGACACGGACGGGGCCUCGGCUGCACCUUGGAAGCACUACCUCAGCCAUAUGCAAAGGGCCCUCGUGGGUUCUGCUUCAGUCACCAAACGCUGUCUCCCUCCUGCCACCUGGACAGGACUCGCUAUGGACAAGGAGCAGGGCCCGACUUCCGAGGCUCUGGGCCCAGCAUGGGCAGCACCCAUGCAUACCCACGGGGAUGCUGGGACAGGCAGGGAUCCUGGUCCCCUGGAAGGGAGCAGGACUAGCAUGUACCGAGGCUGUAGCUGGGCUACUCCGUCCUUCUGGAAGUGUUCCUAAAGAUAGCACCGCUUUCUUCUUUUUUCUUUUUUUUUUAAGCUUUUAUAUAUUAAAAAACUUACCUUGUGCUGACUGUGAAUGGCUGCCACCUGUGCAGAGGCCCAAGGGGGCCUCCGUGCAACACUGGAAGUGACUGUCCCCAGGAUGGGCCUGACCAGGCUCCUCUGUGCAUGGAGAAUUCACCUAGUUUUGUCCCCCAUAGCUGGGAUGGUGCAGAGCUGGGCCAGCUGCAGGGGCCGGGAGUCCCUAGAACCGUCUUUGUAAUAAAAG